CCUACGGGAGGCUGCAGUGGGGAAUAUUGGACAAUGGGGGGAACCCUGAUCCAGCCAUGCCGCGUGUGUGAAGAAGGCCCUCGGGUUGGAAAGCACUUUCAGUGAGGAAGAACGCCUGGUGGUUAAUACCCAUCAGGAAAGACAUCACUCACAGAAGAAGCACCGGCUAACUCCGUGCCAGCAGCCGCGGUAAUACGGAGGGUGCGAGCGUUAAUCGGAAUUACUGGGCGUAAAGCGCGCGUAGGUGGCUUGAUAAGCCGGUUGUGAAAGCCCCGGGCUCAACCUGGGAACGGCAUCCGGAACUGUCAAGCUAGAGUGCAGGAGAGGAAGGUGGAAUUCCCGGUGUAGCGGUGAAAUGCGUAGAGAUCGGGAGGAAUACCAGUGGCGAAGGCGGCUUUCUGGACUGACACUGACACUGAGGUGCGAAAGCGUGGGUAGCAAACAGGAUUAGAUACCCUUGUAGUC
rnacentral:rRNA from 1 species